rnacentral:rRNA from 1 species
UACGUAGGUGGCAAGCGUUAUCCGGAUUUACUGGGCGUAAAGGGAGCGUAGGCGGACUUUUAAGUGAGAUGUGAAAUACUCGGGCUCAACUUGAGCGCUGCAUUUCAAACUGGAAGUCUAGAGUGCAGGAGAGGAGAAUGGAAUUCCUAGUGUAGCGGUGAAAUGCGUAGAGAUUAGGAAGAACACCAGUGGCGAAGGCGAUUCUCUGGACUGUAACUGACGCUGAGGCUCGAAAGCGUGGGGAGCAAACAGG